rnacentral:rRNA from 1 species
AGCCUGAUGCAGCCAUGCCGCGUGUAUGAAGAAGGCCUUCGGGUUGUAAAGUACUUUCAGCAGUGAGGAAGGUGGUGCAUUUAAUACGUGCAUCAUUUGACGUUAGCUGCAGAAGAAGCACCGGCUAACUCCGUGCCAGCAGCCGCGGUAAUACGGAGGGUGCGAGCGUUAAUCGGAAUUACUGGGCGUAAAGCGCAUGCAGGUGGUGUGUUAAGUCAGAUGUGAAAGCCCGGGGCUCAACCUCGGAAUUGCAUUUGAAACUGACAGACUAGAGUACUGUAGAGGGGGGUAGAAUUUCAGGUGUAGCGGUGAAAUGCGUAGAGAUCUGAAGGAAUACCGGUGGCGAAGGCGGCCCCCUGGACAGAUACUGACACUCAGAUGCGAAAGCGUGGGGAGCAAACAGGAUUAGAUACCCUGGUAGUCCACGCCGUAAACGAUGUCUACUUGGAGUUGUGGCCUUGAGCCGUGGCUUUCGGAGCUAACGCGUUAAGUAGACCGCCUG